rnacentral:rRNA from 1 species
CGUAGGUAACCUGCCUGGUAGCGGGGGAUAACUAUUGGAAACGAUAGCUAAUACCGCAUAACAGUCACAUUGCAUGAUGUUGAUUUGAAAGGGGCAAUUGCUCCACUACCAGAUGGACCUGCGUUGUAUUAGCUAGUUGGUGAGGUAACGGCUCACCAAGGCGACGAUACAUAGCCGACCUGAGAGGGUGAUCGGCCACACUGGGACUGAGACACGGCCCAG